rnacentral:rRNA from 1 species
GACGAACGCUGGCGGCGUGCUUAACACAUGCAAGUCGAACGGAAAGGCCCUGCUUUUGUGGGGUGCUCGAGUGGCGAACGGGUGAGUAACACGUGAGUAACCUGCCCUUGACUUUGGGAUAACUUCAGGAAACUGGGGCUAAUACCGGAUAGGAGCUCCUGCUGCACGGUGGGGGUUGGCCAGUUUCGGCGGUUGGGGAUGGACUCGCGGCUUAUCAGCUUGUUGGUGGGGUAGUGGCUUACCAAGGCUUUGACGGUUAGCCGGCCUGAGAGGGUGACCGGCCACAUUGGGACUGAGAUACGGCCCAGACUCCUACGGGAGGCAGCAGUGAGGAAUAUUGCACAAUGGGCGGAAGCCUGAUGCAGCAACGCGGCGGGCGGGAUGACGGCCUUCGGGUUGUAAACCGCUUUCGCCUGUGACGAAGCGUGAGUGACGGUAAUGGGUAAAGAAGCACCGGCUAACUACGUG